rnacentral:rRNA from 1 species
UACGUAGGGAGCAAGCGUUACUCGGAAUUACUGGGCGUAAAGGGCGCGUAGGCGGCAAUUCAAGUCAGCUGUGAAAUCUCCGGGCUUAACCCGGAAAGGGCAGAUGAUACUGCUUUGCUAGAGUGCGGAAGGGGCAAGCGGAAUUCUUGGUGUAGCGGUGAAAUGCGUAGAUAUCAAGAGGAACACCGGAGGCGAAGACGGCUUGCUGGGCUGACACUGACGCUGAAGCGCGAAAGCCAGGGGAGCAAACGGG